CAAUAGGCUUUUCUAGAAGCCAAUUUACCCAAGCAAAAUGCCU
rfam:Camelus ferus unplaced genomic scaffold scaffold1456, whole genome shotgun sequence.